rnacentral:rRNA from 1 species
UCGCCUAUGGGGGGCAGCAGUGAGGAAUAUUGGUCAAUGGUCGGGAGACUGAACCAGCCAAGCCGCGUGAGGGAUGAAGGUACAGAGUAUCGUAAACCUCUUUUGUCAGGGAACAAAGGCGGGGACGUGUCCCCGGAUGAGUGUACCUGAAGAAAAAGCAUCGGCUAACUCCGUGCCAGCAGCCGCGGUAAUACGGAGGAUGCGAGCGUUAUCCGGAUUUAUUGGGUUUAAAGGGUGCGGAGGCGGCCCGUUAAGCCACCGGGAAAAU